UACGGAGGGUGCGAGCGCUGUCCGGAAUCACUGGGCGUAAAGGGCGCGUAGGCGGCGCGGGUAGUCAUCGGUGAAAGUUCAGGGCUCAACUCUGAAUCGGCCGGUGAUACUCCCGUGCUCGAGCACUGUAGAGGCAGGUGGAAUUCCGGGUGUAGCGGUGGAAUGCGUAGAGAUCCGGAAGAACACCAAUGGCGAAGGCAGCUCGCUGGGACGUGACUGACGCUGAGACGCGAAAGCGUGGGGAGCAAACAGG
rnacentral:rRNA from 1 species